rnacentral:rRNA from 1 species
GAUGAACGCUGGCGGCGUGCCUAAUACAUGCAAGUCGAGCGAACGGACGAGAAGCUUGCUUCUCUGAUGUUAGCGGCGGACGGGUGAGUAACACGUGGAUAACCUACCUAUAAGACUGGGAUAACUUCGGGAAACCGGAGCUAAUACCGGAUGAUAUUUUGAACCGCAUGGUUCAAAAGUGAAAGACGGUCUUGCUGUCACUUAUAGAUUGAUCCGCGCUGCAUUAGCUAGUUGGUAAGGUAACGGCUUACCAAGGCAACGAUGCAUAGCCGACAUGAGAGGGUGAUCGGCCACACUGGAACUGAGACACGGUCCAGACUACUACGGGAGGCAGCAGUAGGGAAUCUUCCGCAAUGGGCGAAAGCCUGACGGAGCAACGCCGCGUGAGUGAUGAAGGUCUUCGGAUCGUAAAACUCUGUUAUUAGGGAAGAACAUAUGUGUAAGUAACUGUGCACAUCUUGACGGUACCUAAUCAGAAAGCCACGGCUAACUACGUG